AGUUGAUCCUGGCUCAGGAUGAACGCUAGCGACAGGCUUAACACAUGCAAGUCGAGGGGCAGCACGGGAGUAGCAAUACAACUGGUGGCGACCGGCGCACGGGUGAGUAACGCGUAUGCAACCUACCUAUCAGAGGGGAAUAACCCGGCGAAAGUCGGACUAAUACCGCAUAAAACAGGGGCACCGCAUGGUGAUAUUUGUUAAAGAGAUUCGCUGAUAGAUGGGCAUGCGUUCCAUUAGGUAGUUGGUGAGGUAACGGCUCACCAAGCCGACGAUGGAUAGGGGAACUGAGAGGUUGGUCCCCCACACUGGUACUGAGACACGGACCAGACUCCUACGGGAGGCAGCAGUGAGGAAUAUUGGUCAAUGGGCGGGAGCCUGAACCAGCCAAGUCGCGUGAAGGAAAGAAGGAUCUAUGGUUCGUAAACUUCUUUUGCAGGGGAAUAAAGUGCAGGACGUGUCCUGUUUUGUAUGUACCCUGAGAAUAAGGAUCGGCUAACUCCGUGCCAGCAGCUGC
rnacentral:rRNA from 1 species